GGGUGAUUAGCUCAGUUGGUUUAGAGCGCUGCCUUGACAGGGCAGAGGUCGUUGGUUCGAAUCCAAUAUCACCCAC
rnacentral:tRNA from 1 species